CAGCGCACCGGCUGACCCCCGACGGCCCGGCCCCGCCGCCCUUAACCACCCCGGCCCAGCCCGGCCCCGCGUAACCUCCCCGAAACGCCUCCUCCGCCGGCGGCAACGCCGAGACUAGGCUGCGCGCAUGCGCGGGGGCACACGGUCUGCCUGAGGUGUGGGGGGGGGGGUCCCUCCUGGAGCGACGCUCGCCAUUGGUUGCCGAAGAUUGCCGAGUGCGUUCGUGCUCCUCCGGCGCGACGCCGAAGGCGGGGGAGCGAACGGCUCGGGCGCGGCGCAGCGCAUUGUGGGGCGGAAGAGGAGAGUCACCGCUCUGCUAGGGCCGCCAUCUUGCCUGCGUCCGGACUCGCUCCCGCUUUCGGGGCCUCCUCCUCCUCCUCGCAGCGCGGAGCCGGCGGGAAGGGAGAGGACGAGGGGCCCGCCCGGGCGGCGCCGAUGCGUGCGGAGCCUCCCCGCACCUCCCUCGGGCGCCGCUAGCGGAAGGGGACGGGGGCGGCCGGGCGGUCGCCGGCGCGGCCUCUCCUCUCCUCGCCUCCUCUGCCGGGAUGGGCCGGUCUCGCAGCCGGAGCUCGUCCCGCUCCAAGCACACCAAGAGCUCCAAGCACAACAAGAAGAACCGGAGCCGAUCGCGGUCCCGCUCCCGGGAGAAGGAGCGGGCGCGGAAACGCUCCAAGUCCCGGGAGAGCAAGCGGAACCGGCGCCGGGAGUCGCGCUCCCGCUCCCGCUCCAACACGGCCCCCUCCUCCCGCCGCGACCGGGAGCGAGAGCGCGACCGCGCCUCCUCCCCGCCCGACCGCAUCGACAUCUUCGGCCGCACGGUGAGCAAGCGCAGCAGCCUGGACGAGAAGCAGAAGCGGGAGGAGGAGGAGAAAAAAGCGGAGUUCGAGCGGCAGCGGAAAAUUCGUCAACAAGAAAUUGAAGAGAAACUCAUAGAGGAAGAAACUGCUCGAAGAGUGGAAGAGCUUGUGGCUAAACGUGUAGAAGAAGAGUUGGAGAAAAGGAAGGAUGAGAUUGAGCGAGAGGUUCUCCGCAGGGUGGAGGAGGCUAAGCGCAUCAUGGAAAAACAGUUGCUCGAAGAACUCGAGCGACAGCGACAAGCUGAACUUGCAGCACAAAAAGCCAGAGAGAGGAAGCUGGCGCGUAUGGCAGCCGAGGAGCACACUCUGCAGGACACUGGACAAGACAGUAAAUAUUCAACUUUUAAUGCUGAUUAAAGGAGUAUAGGUAAAGAAUACGUAGGUAUACUUAAUUGGUGAGACAAACUAUUCACUUUAUUUAUAUUUUCUAUUUUACUUUUUAAUUUGGUAAAUACUAUCCAGUUUUUGUAGUUGUCCUUGUUGAUUUGUGUGAUAUUAAAAUUCUAGUAAUAAAUUGUCAGGAUUCUAUGAUUAGGGAGGGUUUAGUUGGUUGCUGUUUGGACUGGGCGGGGUGAUUUAAAUUGAGUACUAGAAACCAGUUUUAGUGGCUGCACAAUUUACCGUUGUGAGACAAAAUAGGUGGCUGUAAAGCUGCCACUUUAAGUCAGUUCACAGAAGAAUUCUGAGAAAGAUUAGUGCACAUGCAGAAAUGAGUAUUCUACUUUACUAACAUCUUGCCCUGUCCUCCCCUUUAGGAAGAAGAGCGUGCAAAGCGUGAGGAACUAGAGCGAAUACUAGAAGAGAAUAACCGAAAAAUUGCAGAAGCACAAGCUAAACUGGCUGAAGAACAAUUGAAAAUUGUUGAAGAACAAAGAAAGAUUCAUGAGGAGAGGAUGAAACUAGAACAAGAGAGACAACGUCAGCAAAAGGAAGAGCAAAAAAUUAUCCUGGGCAAAGGAAAGUCUAGGCCAAAACUGUCCUUCUCACUAAAAAGCCAGGAUUAAAUUGCAACUCUGAACUCUUAAAAGAAAAAAAAAAAAAGAAACAAAAAAACCCAACAAAAAAAGGAAAACAAAAAGAAACUUUGUAUGGUAGCUUCAUGUUGAAGUGUUUUUUGGUUUUUUUUUUUUCCUCUCAAAAAAAUUUUUUUUUUUGUCUUUUUUGAAAGUCUGGAAAGUUAGCUUGUUCUAAUAGGGGCUGUGCUCUGCAAUUCUUAAUUUUUUUUAAACUUCCAUUAAGUUAAACCCUUAUCAGAUCAUUGUUGCCUUUUAGAGGGUAAUCUGUUCUCAUCAAUUUUGUUUCCGUAUUAGUGGUCUGAAGCAGAUCAGGUCACUUUAUGAAUCGUGGAUGAUCUGAUAAGGUUUUACUGACCUACGCAUCAGAGUUUGACUCUGAUAAUUGACAGAAAUUUAUACUGGGUAUUGCUGACUUUUAAUUUUUUUUUUUUUUAAAGUCAGUAAAUACAUGAGUAAAUUGCCAUAGUAUUACUGGACCUCUGUGGUUUAUUGUUAAAUCAGUGUCCUAUGAUACUGUCCCAUUGUUGCGCUUGAUGUUCCUGAUACAGGUAAGGAAAUAGUUUGUCACUUCUGCUAUGAAUACAUAGAGAGAGUUCAGUAUUGUCUCUGUUAGAUUUGUUUUUAUUACAUUGACAGCAUUCAACCAGCGUUCCCCAUUGUGUAAAUAAACCAAUUUGCUGAAUAAAGUGAAAGUCUUAAAUUCAUAUGUUUAAGUAAAUUUUUUUAGUACACUUCUAUAAACGGCUUUAAGAGUGACAGUUCACAUUAUUAAAUUCAAAACUAUAGUGGUAUUUUUAAAAUUUUGCUUUAAACUAUUGUGGCUUCUCCUACUUAUAAUGCAAAAUUACACAUAGUAAAAAUUCCCUGCAGUUGUGAAUGUUUUUGAUGGCUGCUGCUGUUUUCAUGAAUGUUGGUUUUUAUUCUGACAGAGACUUACUUCAGCUGUAGUAUCAUGUUCAAGCAGCUGUUUGGCUUACUGCACCCAGACCAAUACUUCCAUAUCUAAUCCCCUUCAGUUCACCUCAUAAUAUAGUAUAUUGUAUAAAUUAAGGUCGUUACCACAUAAUGAAUCUGAUGGAUCCUAAAGGAUUUAAAAAUGGAACUUUUUUCCCAAAGGACUGGACCGGCUAGCAUACUCGAAGUGAAAAACAGAAAGUGAAAUUCUGUCUAAAUGUAUUGUUUUAGCCAGAAAGCAACUGUUACUCAUAUACAGAUCUUGAAUGUUAUCCAUUUAUAUAUACAGGUUUUAUUUUGAAAAAUGAAACUACAGAUUGAAAACUAUAUAUAAAAGUCCCCUUUUGUAUAUAAUUCUUCUAACAAAACCUGGAUUACUAUAGCUUGUCCAGUUCUAAAACUUUCUUUUUCCUGUCAGUGUGCAACAUCUCUAGUAACCGUAAAAUGAAAGUUACUGGUAGUUGCCUGAGCAUUUGAAUGUCACUGGUCAAAGGUGGAAAUAAUUCCGGGUAUUCCCAAAGGAUCUGUUUCUGUAGAUUUGGCAAAUUAAAUGUGGGAGCAAGUUAAGUGUGCCACUGAAAGCAGUGUUCAACAUGCUUUGUAUGAAACCUGGGCUUGGGGGCCGACCGAUAUGUAUCGCUUUGUCCAGUAUGUCAAGAAAAAUGUGAAGACAGUAAAAUACCUACACUAUUACUGUACUUAAAUUUGUCUAUAUAUUGUAUUACAAAAGAAAGUUGAAGGUUGCUUAACGCAUAAAAGCAAAAACUGAAGCCAAGUAAAUCAUGUACAUGACCUGUUGGCAGGAGCAGGCUGUAUUUAAAGCUCAACUGAUACCUGUAUUUCUAAAACAGAAAACAUCCCCUGUUCCCUUAUGAGAAACAAGCUAUUAAAAGUCAAUACUCAAAACA